rnacentral:lncRNA from 1 species
CUGAGCUUUGAAAGUGAGUGAUUUCUUCAACUUGAAUCUUACUAAUUGGAAUUCUCCUUUUCAAAUUAAAGAAAAGGAAGGCUGCAGGGAGUUAAGGAAUGAAUCAACAUGGAGGCCAUGAUCUUAAACCACAUUUUUAAGAGAAACAAAGAAGAAGCUCUGAGGCCCAGAUCAAAGGAAGCAUGUGUUAUGAUGAAGAGUGGAAUGUCUCCAGGGUGGAAAGCAGUCCAAAGAAGAGAAGAAGUAGGGGAUGUUAUGUAUUUACAUGAAUUUCUAAAAGAACAGUGAUUUCCAUGAAGAUUUGCAGAUUCUGAAUGUUUCAGAGAUACUUUCAAAGAGGCCACAAUGCAUUCUGAGAGUUUGGAGUAGGAGGAAAAGUCAUAGCCACAAGCGUAUUUGUGUGGUUCAAGUCAAAUCUUUAUUUUCCAUUUUCUGGAAAAUGUGAAAGUCAUCUCAGAGAAUACUGUCCCAGAUGGAUGGACUAGACAGUGUUGACCCGUAAAGAAAGCGAAAAGGAGGGGAAAAGUUGCACUUAAAAUAAUCCUUGUCACCACAGAGAAGUCACUUCCUUACCAGAGAGUGAAUUCCAUAAAUAACUGAGAUAGCUGAUGGACCAAAGAGCUGAAGGAAAACAUACACAUUCAGCAGUGCCUCAAGCUGCUCCUCAAUCCUCAGGGACGCUUCCAUCUGAGAAGUACAUCGUAGGCAUUUGGAAAUAAUGGCUGUCACGGAGACAUUAUGUUCAAAGACAUUAAAAAUAAUUCACUUCCUUAGAAAUAAACAUCUAACCUAAGCCAUUAGGAAUUCUCAGUGAGAGACAGAAAUAGCUUCUGUUGUCCCCAUGGCUCUUUAAUUUCUAUUUCUACCAUUUCAUUAUUCAUCGUUUCUACGCAGUUCACUUUGUCUAUUUAUUUAAAAUGUGACUCCAGACAGCAGGCAGC